rnacentral:sRNA from 1 species
AAAAUUAUUGACUGGGCAGGAGAGAAGGACUGAGACGGGAAUGUGGAAUGCACUGGGCAAAUGGUCACUGACACAGAGUGCAGAUGCCUGCUUCUGGGACUCAAUGCACUGCACCCUGGUCAUCUGCGGACUCAGCCUGAGCUUCCAGAGGGCCUAGGAGCAGUAAGGAGUGAGUGGGCAACUCAGCGCAUGAAGGAGGCCGCCCUCAUCUGCCUGGCACCCUCUGUACCCCCGAUCUUGACGGUGAAGUCCUGGGACACCAUGCAGUUGCGGGCUGCUAGAUCUCGGUGCACAAACUUGUUGGCAGCAAGUCCCGGCCAGUGUGCAGCUGCACACGGCGGUGGAGAUGCACCACUGGUGCAUCCCCUUCUCUGUGGAUGGGCAGCCGGCACCGUCUCUGCGCUGGCUCUUCAAUGGCUCCGUGCUCAAUGAGACCAGCUUCAUCUUCACUGAGUUCCUGGAGCCGGCAGCCAAUGAGACCGUGCGGCACGGGUGUCUGCGCCUCAACCAGCCCACCCACGUCAACAACGGCAACUACACGCUUCUGGCUGCCAACCCCUUCGGCCAGG